UUGUUUAGUAUAGACGAUCGUUUCUCAAACAAAAUAGCAAACCAUGAUAGAGCUUGUCCUAUAAGUAAGGUUCCAACAAGCCCAACACGUGACUCCUCAAUUGGAUAGCGUUCGGGCUAUAAAACUGUUAUCAACCUGAUUUGGUUGACAAAUCCUCAAAACUUGGAACACGUACCAUCGAACUUGUUUGGAAGGCUAACUCGGGGCUCCUUAUGUUGUAGAACCAGUGGUGCUUG
rnacentral:lncRNA from 1 species